rnacentral:lncRNA from 1 species
GUGGCUUACAUACACAGCCCGGGGCUCAAUUUCCAGUGCCACAGAAAAUAAAGCAAACACAUAAUGAAGCCCCACAGUAAGCCUCACAAGGCAAAGCUGCGACCCCCAAAUACAGAAGACUCACUCUGUUUCGCCCAGUCGCCCUCCCUCGGGGGUCCCCAGGGCCGCCAUCUUGUUCCCUAGGAUUCCUUCCAGAGAAGCCCGUUGGGCCCAAGCUGGUCAACCGCAGUGCCUGGACAACUUGGUCUGCCCAGAAUGGGCCCGGGUGGGUGCUGGCAAUUGAAUCCAGGCCCUGCAAACUGGGCUGCAUCCCCGGACCUCCUUUCUGCUGUUCUUUUGUUUUUUGGUACUAAGGAUUGAACUUGGGACCUUGUGCUUCCAAAGAAAGUGGCGGAACCACUGAGCUAAAUCCCUGGCCCUUUUUUUUUUUUUUUUUUUUUUUUUUUUUUUUUUUUUUUUUUUUUUUUUUUUUUUUUUUUUUUGGUAAUGGGGAUCAUCAAACUGUGUUUGCGAAGCAGGUGGUAGACCCAGAUCUUUUAAUGCUUAGCAUUGAGACAGGGUCUUGCUAAGUUUCUGA